UGCUCUCUACUGCCACCUGCUGUCA
rnacentral:piRNA from 1 species